rnacentral:rRNA from 1 species
GUCCUUUUGAAUUUUUAUUUAAGGUCUAGUCUGCCCACUGAAUUUAUAUUUUAAAUGGCCGCAGUAUUUUGACUGUGCAAAGGUAGCAUAAUCAUUAGUUUUUUAAUUAAAAGCUUGUAUGAAAGGCUGGACGAGGUAAAAUCUGUCUCUAUUUAAAUUAUAGUAGAAUUUAACUUUUAAGUUAAAAGGCUUAAAUAUUAUUAAAAGACGAGAAGACCCUAUAGAUCUUUAUAAUUAAUUAAAUAAAAUUUAUUUAGAAUUAUUUAUGUUUUAUUUAAUUAAUUAUUUAAUUGGGGUAAUUGAAAGAUUGAAUUAAUUCUUUUUUAUAAUAAACAUUAAUUUAUGAAUAUUAAAUGAUCCAGUUUUACUGAUUAUAAGAUUAAGUUACCUUAGGGAUAACAGCGUAAUUUUUUUAGAGAGUUCAUAUCGAUAAAAAAGUUUGCGACCUCGAUGUUGGAUUAAAGAUUAUUUUAGGUGCAGAAGCUUAAUAAUUUUGGUCUGUUCGACCAUUGAAUCUUUAC